UUCUGGGGGCUGGAAAUUCAACAUCAAGGCACAAGCAGAUCAGCAGAUUCAGUGUCUGUGUGAUCCAAAGAGAGAACUGGAAUAUCACAUUUCACUGGGAAAAUCACUCCAAUAUUACUUUAGCAGUUCUGCCUCAACCAGUCAUACUGCUUAUGGACAUAGCAUGGUAUAAAUUGCUCAUGAGCCUUCAUCAACAAGUAAUUGGUUUACUUAAGUCUAAGUAAUCUAUGGUAACUCUCUGCUGGCCCUCUCUCCAAGUUCUCAAUCCCACUGGAUGAAGGCUGACAUACUCAGGACAUAAUUCUACAGGUCGAGGAGUUUCGCAGACAUAACUCCUUGGGAGCAGUGCCCAGGUCAAGAAAGAAAAUGUGGCCAAUGCCCCAGGAUCUUAUUUGGUCAUCCAGGCUGGACUGCAGUGGUGUGAUCAUAGCUCACUGCAGCCUCAAACUGCUGGACUCCAGUGAUCUUCCAGCCUCAGCCUCCCCCGGUAGCAAGGACUACAGGUCUCACUCUCUGUCGCCCAGCCUGGAGUGCAGUGGCAUCAUCUGAGCUCACUACAACCUCCGCCUCCCGGGUUCAAGCGAUUCUCCUGCCUCAGCCUCCUGAGUAGCUGGGACUACAGGCACGCGCCACCACGCCCAGCUAAUUUUCGUAUUUUUAAUAGACAUGGGGUUUCACCAUGUUGGCCAGGCUGCUCUUGAACUGCUAACCUCAAGUGAUCCACCAGCGUUGGCCUCUCAAAGUACUAGGAUUACAGUGCUAGGAGCCACCAUGCCCGGCCGCCUCUCUUUUCUUUUACACAUGAAGAAAAAGUGGUCAGAGAAGUUAACUUGGUCAGUGCCAAAAGCACUGGAAGUGAGUAGGACCAAGCUUUUCAUCUAGAUUUGUUUGUUAGACUCUAAAUCCAAAUUCACAACAAGAUCAGAAUAUGAGAAACCUAAGGAACAAAAUUCUAGGAAUCAUUUCUAGAAACUGUGGCUAUUGAAAAAGCACAGACCUAGGGAAUCAAAUUAUUUUCCCUGCCACCAGCACAUGGGUAGGCCUGUGACAAAUUCCAUGCUCUGGACCCCAGAUUCCUCAGUGAGAAUAGAAGGGGCUAGAGACAUCAGGGAAUUGGAUUUGGUGACUUUAAUACCCACUCAGCUCCAAAGCAUUCUUGAAUGAUGCACGAUUUAUGAAUAUAUAUAUUGAAAUUUACUGAUGGGUGAACAGCUCUCAACAUGAGAUUUUUGUUGUAUGCCUUAAAAAAGAUUAUACAUAAAUAUGCGUGUGUGUGUGUAUGUAUGUUUCGAUGUAUAUGAACCCAUGAUCUGAAAAAUGGCCACUGUGGCUUGUGGAAACCUAUUAAUCUCUGCUGUUCCACCCAACAUCCUCAGAGAAAAAAAUAAACAACUUUUUGAAAGUGCUGCCAUGGGGUCAGACCAAAUACUGUGGCCACUUCCAAGGGGUUUGCCUUGAUUUGCCUGGAUUCCUGUUCAUGUGACAUCUGCCUUCUAAUUCAAGGAUAUGAUCAAUUCAAUGUGUGAGUUAUCAAUCAAGGACUGGCAACAGUGAUGCUGAACAAGCCUGGUGGAAGGAAAGAGAAGGCAGGCCAGAGCCCAGACAGACGCAUUCACAAACCUUACAAAGAGGACAGGCUAAUUAGGGGCUGUAGUUCUCCCUCUCUUUAUAGUUGGUAUAAGAGGAGUGGUAAUCGUAGUGUCCAAAAAUAUAUGGGCUACAUAGUUGCUUAGUAAGCUGUGGGUAUGUGGUUUCUUCUGCAAGGUGCUUUCUUUCUGAUAAAGAGAUUACGUUGUUUGUUUGUUCAUUUAUUGAACAUAUUUACACUUACACACACACACACACACACACACAAUGUUCCAGAUACCGUACUUGGCAAUGGUAGUUAGACCUUGCUCUUGCAAAAUUUAUAAUGAAGUUGGGAAGUGUGGUUUGAUCCCUCAAAGUGUCCAAAUCCUAAUCCCCAG
rnacentral:lncRNA from 1 species